GUCGACGCUUCUUUUUCCCCGGAGCUUGCUCCACCGGAAAAAGAAGAGUGGCGAACGGGUGAGUAACACGUGGGUAACCUGCCCAUCAGAAGGGGAUAACACUUGGAAACAGGUGCUAAUACCGUAUAACAAUCAAAACCGCAUGGUUUUGAUUUGAAAGGCGCUUUCGGGUGUCGCUGAUGGAUGGACCCGCGGUGCAUUAGCUAGUUGGUGAGGUAACGGCUCACCAAGGCCACGAUGCAUAGCCGACCUGAGAGGGUGAUCGGCCACAUUGGGACUGAGACACGGCCCAAACUCCUACGGGAGGCAGCAGUAGGGAAUCUUCGGCAAUGGACGAAAGUCUGACCGAGCAACGCCGCGUGAGUGAAGAAGGUUUUCGGAUCGUAAAACUCUGUUGUUAGAGAAGAACAAGGAUGAGAGUAACUGUUCAUCCCUUGACGGUAUCUAACCAGAAAGCCACGGCUAACUACGUGCCAGCAGCCGCGGUAAUACGUAGGUGGCAAGCGUUGUCCGGAUUUAUUGGGCGUAAAGCGAGCGCAGGCGGUUUCUUAAGUCUGAUGUGAAAGCCCCCGGCUCAACCGGGGAGGGUCAUUGGAAACUGGGAGACUUGAGUGCAGAAGAGGAGAGUGGAAUUCCAUGUGUAGCGGUGAAAUGCGUAGAUAUAUGGAGGAACACCAGUGGCGAAGGCGGCUCUCUGGUCUGUAACUGACGCUGAGGCUCGAAAGCGUGGGGAGCAAACAGGAUUAGAUACCCUGGUAGUCCACGCCGUAAACGAUGAGUGCUAAGUGUUGGAGGGUUUCCGCCCUUCAGUGCUGCAGCUAACGCAUUAAGCACUCCGCCUGGGGAGUACGACCGCAAGGUUGAAACUCAAAGGAAUUGACGGGGGCCCGCACAAGCGGUGGAGCAUGUGGUUUAAUUCGAAGCAACGCGAAGAACCUUACCAGGUCUUGACAUCCUUUGAUCACUCUAGAGAUAGAGCUUCCCCUUCGGGGGCAAAGUGACAGGUGGGUGCAUGGUUGUCGUCAGCUCGUGUCGUGAGAUGUUGGGUUAAGUCCCGCAACGAGCGCAACCCUUAUUGUUAGUUGCCAUCAUUCAGUUGGCCACUCUAGCAAGACUGCCGGUGCCAAACCGGAGGAAGGUGGGGAUGACGUCAAAUCAUCAUGCCCCUUAU
rnacentral:rRNA from 1 species